AACGGGUUUUAUUUUGUUUAUUUAUUUUUCACACAAAAUCUUCAUAUUUUACAUGCUAGCAUUUUUCUAUAUUUUAUUUACAAAAGAUUGGUUAAAAAUAUAUUUAUUUUCCAGGACUUUUAUUAUUUUAUUUUAUUGUAUGUUAUUUUUCUCCAUUCCUCUGGGGGGCGCAGCGUCUUUUAGUGUUUAGCUAGUCUCUCCUCAGUUGGCUGAGAGCUCUGCUGGAGAGAGGUUGGUAGAAUUCAGACUCUCUUUAAAAGUGUCUAAAAAGAGUUCAAUAUGUGUUAAAAAGUGUUAAAAAUAGUUUAAUAUGAAGCGUAAGGCCUUUAAAUGUAAUAUUCUGGAUGUUUUAAGGAUGGAUGAUCUGUAUUUUUAACUAAAUCUUCGAGUUGAAUGUGUGAGAAGUGUUAGUUAGCUACAGCUGCCUGUGUUUAGUUCAGUCCUAACUCUCCCUCCAUUUUGUGUGGUUUUGGGGAUCAUGCAGUGAUUUGUGCAGGCAGACACGAGGCUGGAUGCUAUUUCUCACAGCUUUCUAUCUUGUACAUCCAGAUAAUAAAAGAUUCCCGGAUUGGUACCAACAA